rnacentral:sRNA from 1 species
GCUGGGCGCGGUGGCACACGCCUGUCAUCCCAGCAGCUCAGGAGGCUGAGGCAGGAGGGUCAUGAGUUUACAGCCAGCCUCAGCAAAAGUGAGGCACUAAGCAACUCAGUGAGACCCUGUCUCUA